rnacentral:rRNA from 1 species
AGAGUUUGAUCCUGGCUCAGAACAAACGCUGGCGGCGUGCCUAAUACAUGCAAGUCGAACGAUGUAGCAAUACAGAGUGGCGCACGGGAGAGUAACACGUGGAUAAUCUUCCCUUUAGUGGGGAAUAACUCACCGAAAGGUGAGCUAAUUCCGCAUGAGACCACAACGUCUUCGGACGAAGGGGCUAAAGGUGGAACCUUCGGGUCUAUCGCUAAAGGAUGAGUCUGCGCUCGAUUAGCUAGUUGGCGGGGUAAUGGCCCACCAAGGCGACGAUCGAUAGCUGGUCUGAGAGGAUGACCAGCCUCACUGGAACUGAGACACGGUCCAGACUCCUACGGGAGGCAGCAGUAGGGAAUAUUGCACAAUGGGGGAAACCCUGAUGCAGCGACGCCGCGUGAGUGAUGAAGGCCUUCGGGUCGUAAAGCUCUGUUGUAUGGGAAGAAAUGUUCAUGGCUAAUAUCCAUGAAUUUUGACGGUACCAUAUUCAGAAAGGACCGGCUAACUUCGUGCCAGCAGCCGCGGUAAGACGAGGGGUCCUAGCGUUGUUCGGAAUCACUGGGCGUAAAGCGUAUGUAGGCGGGGCUUUUAAGUCAGGUGUGAAAUCCCAUGGCUCAACCCAUGGAAUUGCAUUUGAAACUGGAAGUCUUGAAUGUGGGAGAGAUUGGUAGAAUACCUGGUGUAGUGGUGAAAUACGUAGAUAUCAGGUGGAAUACCGGUGGCGAAGGCGGCCAAUUGGCCCAACAUUGACGCUGAGAUACGAAAGCGUGGGGAUCAAACAGGAUUAGAUACCCUGGUAGUCCACGCCGUAAACGAUGAACACUUGGUGUUAGAGGUAUUGACCCCUCUAGUGCCGAAGCCAACGCGUUAAGUGUUCCGCCUGGGAAGUACGGUCGCAAGAUUAAAACUCAAAGAAAUUGACGGGGGCCCGCACAAGCGGUGGAGCAUGUGGUUCAAUUCGAUGCAACGCGAAAAACCUUACCUGGGUUUGAAGUGGUAGUGAAUGCGGUAGAGAUAUCGCAGGCCUUCGGGACACUAUCAUCAGGUGCUGCAUGGCUGUCGUCAGCUCGUGUCGUGAGAUGUCGGGUUAAGUCCCAUAACGAGCGCAACCCUUGUCUUUAGUUGCCAGCAUUCAGUUGGGCACUCUAAAGAGACUGCCGACGUUAAGUCGGAGGAAGGUGGGGAUGACGUCAAGUCCUCAUGGCCUUUAUGUCCAGGGCUACACACGUGCUACAAUGGUCGAUACAGAGGGUUGCGAUACUGCAAAGUGGAGCUAAUCCCAAAAAAUCGAUCUAAGUUCGGAUUGGAGUCUGCAACUCGACUCCAUGAAGUUGGAAUCGCUAGUAAUCGCGGAUCAGCAUGCCGCGGUGAAUACGUUCCCGGGCCUUGUACACACCGCCCGUCACACCAUGAAAGCUGUUUGUACCAGAAGUCGCUGUGCUAACCGUAAGGAGGCAGGCGCCCAAGGUAUGAAGAGUGAUUGGGGUGAAGUCGUAACAAGGUAACCGU